AUGAACGCUAGCGACAGGCUUAACACAUGCAAGUCGAGGGGCAGCGGGGGUAGCGAUACCCGCCGGCGACCGGCGCACGGGUGAGUAACGCGUAUGCAACUUGCCUAUCAGAGGGGGAUAACCCGGCGAAAGUCGGACUAAUACCGCAUGAAGCAGGGGCCCCGCAUGGGGAUAUUUGCUAAAGAUUCAUCGCUGAUAGAUAGGCAUGCGUUCCAUUAGGCAGUUGGCGGGGUAACGGCCCACCAAACCGACGAUGGAUAGGGGUUCUGAGAGGAAGGUCCCCCACAUUGGUACUGAGACACGGACCAAACUCCUACGGGAGGCAGCAGUGAGGAAUAUUGGUCAAUGGGCGUAAGCCUGAACCAGCCAAGUCGCGUGAGGGAUGAAGGUUCUAUGGAUCGUAAACCUCUUUUAUAAGGGAAUAAAGUGCGGGACGUGUCCCGUUUUGUAUGUACCUUAUGAAUAAGGAUCGGCUAACUCCGUGCCAGCAGCCGCGGUAAUACGGAGGAUCCGAGCGUUAUCCGGAUUUAUUGGGUUUAAAGGGUGCGUAGGCGGCCUUUUAAGUCAGCGGUGAAAGUCUGUGGCUCAACCAUAGAAUUGCCGUUGAAACUGGGGGGCUUGAGUAUGUUUGAGGCAGGCGGAAUGCGUGGUGUAGCGGUGAAAUGCAUAGAUAUCACGCAGAACCCCGAUUGCGAAGGCAGCCUGCCAAGCCAUUACUGACGCUGAUGCACGAAAGCGUGGGGAUCAAACAGGAUUAGAUACCCUGGUAGUCCACGCAGUAAACGAUGAUCACUAGCUGUUUGCGAUACACUGUAAGCGGCACAGCGAAAGCGUUAAGUGAUCAACCUGGGGAGUACGCCGGAAACGGUGAAACUCAAAGGAAUUGACGGGGGCCCGCACAAGCGGAGGAACAUGUGGUUUAAUUCGAUGAUACGCGAGGAACCUUACCCGGGUUUGAACGCAUUCGGACCGAGGUGGAAACACCUUUUCUAGCAAUAGCCGUUUGCGAGGUGCUGCAUGGUUGUCGUCAGCUCGUGCCGUGAGGUGUCGGCUUAAGUGCCAUAACGAGCGCAACCCUUGCCACUAGUUACUAACAGGUAAAGCUGAGGACUCUGGUGGGACUGCCAGCGUAAGCUGCGAGGAAGGCGGGGAUGACGUCAAAUCAGCACGGCCCUUACAUCCGGGGCGACACACGUGUUACAAUGGCGUGGACAAAGGGAGGCCACCUGGCGACAGGGAGCGAAUCCCCAAACCACGUCUCAGUUCGGAUCGGAGUCUGCAACCCGACUCCGUGAAGCUGGAUUCGCUAGUAAUCGCGCAUCAGCCAUGGCGCGGUGAAUACGUUCCCGGGCCUUGUACACACCGCCCGUCAAGCCAUGGGAGCCGGGGGUACCUGAAGUCCGUAACCGCGAGGAUCGGCCUAGGGUAAAACUGGUGACUGGGGCU
rnacentral:rRNA from 1 species